rnacentral:rRNA from 1 species
UCGCCCUUUUCCGGUUGAUCCCGCCGGACCUUACUGCUAUCGGGAUAAGACUAAGCCAUGCGAGUUGAGCGCUCUCAAGCUAUGUUGAGAGAGCAGCGAACGGCUCCGUAACACGUAGUUAACCUACCCUCAGGACAGGGAUACCCCCGGGAAACUGGGGACAAUACCUGAUAGGCGGAAAGACCUGGAACGGUCUUCCACUGAAAGGGUGUUGGGAACAUGCUUCCAGCACUGCUUGAGGAUGGGACUGCGGCCGAUCAGGUUGUUGGUGGGGUAACGGCCCACCAAGCCGAUAACCGGUACGGGCCCUGAGAGGGGGAGCCCGGAGAUGGGAACUGAGACAAGGUCCCAGGUCCUACGGGACGCAGCAGGCGCGAAACCUCCACAAUGCACGAAAGUGUGAUGGGGUUAUCCCGAGUGCUGUCCGAUGAGGAUGGCUUUUCCUCGGUGUAAAAAGCCGAGGGAAUAAAGGGGGGGCAAGACUGGUGUCAGCCGCCGCGGUAAUACCAGCUCCCUGAGUGGUAGGGAUGAUUAUUUGGCCUAAAGCGUCCGUAGCCGGCUUGGUAAGUCCUUCGUAAAAUCCAACGACUCAAUCGUUGGUUCGCGGAGGAUACUGCCAGGCUAGAGGACGGGAGAGGUUGACGGUAGUCCCAGGGUAGGGGUGAAAUCCAAUAAUCCUGGGAGGACCACCAGUGGCGAAGGCGGUCAACAAGAACGUGCCUGACGGUGAUGGACGAAAGCUGGGGGAGCGAACCGGAUUAGACACCCGGGUAGUCCCAGCCGUAAACGAUGCGGGCUAGGUGUUAGGGCAGCUACGAGCUGCUCUAGUGCCGCAGAGAAGUCGUUAAGCCCGCCGCCUGGGGAGUACGAUCGCAAGAUUGAAACUUAAAGGAAUUGGCGGGGGAGCACCACAAGGGGUGAAGCCUGCGGUUCAAUUGGAGUCAACGCCGGGAA